CUGGCAUAGUUUACAUUCACAUUCAGCUGUUUUAUGCUCCGGUGUCUUUCACAUUGAUGUGGGUAUUUGAAGUCGGCCUUUGAAGUGUGUAUUAUACAUCUAUUUCAUUGUACUGUUCCAACAGUAGACUAAAUGUGUCAAUGUAGCCUAUAUAUGAUGAGGUUGAGUAGUACAUUCUACACUCCAUUCCACAGACCUUUAAACCUAAUAUAAACCUAAUAUUGCAGUGAUAAUGUCUGGGGGCAUUUUUGUUAAUUUUGCAUUUCUCCAAAUAGUAUUGUAGAGUUUUUAAGUACAGUAAAUUAUCUGGUGUGGGAAUUUCUACACACCCCAUUUAGCAAUACCCUAGGUUGAGCAGUAUUUCUACACACCCCAUUUAGCCAUACCCUAGGUUUAGCUGUAUUUCUACACACCCCAUUUAGCCAUACCCUAGGUUUAGCUGUAUUUAUACACACCCCAUUUAGCCAUACCCUAGGUUUAGCUGUAUUUAUACACACCCCAUUUAGCCAUACCCUAGGUUUAUCUGUAUUUAUACACACCCCAUUUAGCCAUACCCUAGGUUUAGCUGUAUUUCUACACACCCCAUUUAGCCAUACCCUAGGUUUAGCUGUAUUUCUACACACCCCAUUUAGCCAUACCCUAGGUUUAGCUGUAUUUCUACACACCC
rnacentral:lncRNA from 1 species